GCCUUGCAGGAAGGCCUGCGUGCCCUGGAGACCAGCCGGAAGGAGCUGGCGGAUGAGUAUAUCAUUCUGAAAAGCAAUUACCUAGCCCUAGGCAAAGAGCUGGACCAGGAGGUCAUGAAGAAUGAAGAGCUCAGCCGGGAGCUGCUCAACCUGGCCAAUGCCAACCACUCCCCUGCCAUGGCUGGUGAAUCCUUUGCUGAGCUGGGAAGAGUAAGGGCAGUGUUGCUUGGAAACCAGGAUCACAUAAAAGUGGAGCUUGAAAAACUGAAGAAAACCUAUGAUUUGCAGCAACAGAAAAUGGAAGAGAGAGUGUGAGUGUUUGAGGGCACAUCCU
rnacentral:lncRNA from 14 species